GGGCCCUUGGCACAGUUGGUAGCGCGCACGCUUCGCAUUAUUAAAAAUCGACUGCGUGAGGUCGAGGGUUCGACUCCCUCAGUGUCCA